UCAAGUGAAGAAGCGCAUACGGUGGAUGCCUUGGCAGUCAGAGGCGAUGAAAGACGUGGUAGCCUGCGAAAAGCUUCGGGGAGUCGGCAAACAGACUUUGAUCCGGAGAUGUCUGAAUGGGGGAACCCAGCCAUCACAAGAUGGUUAUCUUGCACUGAAUACAUAGGUGCAAGAGGCGAACCAGGGGAACUGAAACAUCUAAGUACCCUGAGGAAAAGAAAUCAACCGAGAUUCCCUUAGUAGUGGCGAGCGAACGGGGACUAGCCCUUAAGUGGCUUUGAGAUUAGCGGAACGCUCUGGAAAGUGCGGCCAUAGUGGGUGAUAGCCCUGUACGCGAAAAUCUCUUGGUCAUGAAAUCGAGUAGGACGGAGCACGAGAAACUUUGUCUGAAUAUGGGGGGACCAUCCUCCAAGGCUAAAUACUACUGACUGACCGAUAGUGAACUAGUACCGUGAGGGAAAGGCGAAAAGAACCCCGGAGAGGGGAGUGAAAUAGAUCCUGAAACCGUAUGCGUACAAGCAGUGGGAGCAGACUUUGUUCUGUGACUGCGUACCUUUUGUAUAAUGGGUCAGCGACUUAUUUUCAGUGGCGAGCUUAACCGAAUAGGGGAGGCGUAGCGAAAGCGAGUCUUAAUAGGGCGUCUAGUCGCUGGGAAUAGACCCGAAACCGGGCGAUCUAUCCAUGGGCAGGUUGAAGGUUAGGUAACACUGACUGGAGGACCGAACCGACUACCGUUGAAAAGUUAGCGGAUGACCUGUGGAUCGGAGUGAAAGGCUAAUCAAGCUCGGAGAUAGCUGGUUCUCCUCGAAAGCUAUUUAGGUAGCGCCUCAUGUAUCACUGUAGGGGGUAGAGCACUGUUUCGGCUAGGGGGUCAUCCCGACUUACCAAACCGAUGCAAACUCCGAAUACCUACAAGUGCCGAGCAUGGGAGACACACGGCGGGUGCUAACGUCCGUCGUGAAAAGGGAAACAACCCAGACCGUCAGCUAAGGUCCCAAAGUUAUGGUUAAGUGGGAAACGAUGUGGGAAGGCUUAGACAGCUAGGAGGUUGGCUUAGAAGCAGCCACCCUUUAAAGAAAGCGUAAUAGCUCACUAGUCGAGUCGGCCUGCGCGGAAGAUGUAACGGGGCUCAAACCAUACACCGAAGCUACGGGUAUCACGUAAGUGAUGCGGUAGAGGAGCGUUCUGUAAGCCUGUGAAGGUGAGUUGAGAAGCUUGCUGGAGGUAUCAGAAGUGCGAAUGCUGACAUGAGUAACGACAAUGGGUGUGAAAAACACCCACGCCGAAAGACCAAGGUUUCCUGCGCAACGUUAAUCGACGCAGGGUUAGUCGGUCCCUAAGGCGAGGCUGAAAAGCGUAGUCGAUGGAAAACAGGUUAAUAUUCCUGUACUUCUGGUUAUUGCGAUGGAGGGACGGAGAAGGCUAGGCCAGCUUGGCGUUGGUUGUCCAAGUUUAAGGUGGUAGGCUGAGAUCUUAGGUAAAUCCGGGAUCUUAAGGCCGAGAGCUGAUGACGAGUUGCCUUUAGGCGACGAAGUGGUUGAUGCCAUGCUUCCAAGAAAAGCUUCUAAGCUUCAGAUAACCAGGAACCGUACCCCAAACCGACACAGGUGGUUGGGUAGAGAAUACCAAGGCGCUUGAGAGAACUCGGGUGAAGGAACUAGGCAAAAUGGCACCGUAACUUCGGGAGAAGGUGCGCCGGUGAGGGUGAAGGACUUGCUCCGUAAGCCCAUGCCGGUCGAAGAUACCAGGCCGCUGCGACUGUUUAUUAAAAACACAGCACUCUGCAAACACGAAAGUGGACGUAUAGGGUGUGACGCCUGCCCGGUGCCGGAAGGUUAAUUGAUGGGGUUAGCUAACGCGAAGCUCUUGAUCGAAGCCCCGGUAAACGGCGGCCGUAACUAUAACGGUCCUAAGGUAGCGAAAUUCCUUGUCGGGUAAGUUCCGACCUGCACGAAUGGCGUAACGAUGGCGGCGCUGUCUCCACCCGAGACUCAGUGAAAUUGAAAUCGCUGUGAAGAUGCAGUGUAUCCGCGGCUAGACGGAAAGACCCCGUGAACCUUUACUAUAGCUUUGCACUGGACUUUGAAUUUGCUUGUGUAGGAUAGGUGGGAGGCUUUGAAGCGUGGACGCCAGUUCGCGUGGAGCCAUCCUUGAAAUACCACCCUGGCAACUUUGAGGUUCUAACUCAGGUCCGUUAUCCGGAUCGAGGACAGUGUAUGGUGGGUAGUUUGACUGGGGCGGUCUCCUCCUAAAGAGUAACGGAGGAGUACGAAGGUGCGCUCAGACCGGUCGGAAAUCGGUCGUAGAGUAUAAAGGCAAAAGCGCGCUUGACUGCGAGACAGACACGUCGAGCAGGUACGAAAGUAGGUCUUAGUGAUCCGGUGGUUCUGUAUGGAAGGGCCAUCGCUCAACGGAUAAAAGGUACUCCGGGGAUAACAGGCUGAUACCGCCCAAGAGUUCAUAUCGACGGCGGUGUUUGGCACCUCGAUGUCGGCUCAUCACAUCCUGGGGCUGAAGCCGGUCCCAAGGGUAUGGCUGUUCGCCAUUUAAAGUGGUACGCGAGCUGGGUUUAGAACGUCGUGAGACAGUUCGGUCCCUAUCUGCCGUGGACGUUUGAGAUUUGAGAGGGGCUGCUCCUAGUACGAGAGGACCGGAGUGGACGAACCUCUGGUGUUCCGGUUGUCACGCCAGUGGCAUUGCCGGGUAGCUAUGUUCGGAAAAGAUAACCGCUGAAAGCAUCUAAGCGGGAAACUUGCCUCAAGAUGAGAUCUCACUGGAACCUUGAGUUCCCUGAAGGGCCGUCGAAGACUACGACGUUGAUAGGUUGGGUGUGUAAGCGCUGUGAGGCGUUGAGCUAACCAAUACUAAUUGCCCGUGAGGCUUGACCAU
rnacentral:rRNA from 5 species